CAUGCAAGUCGAGCGGAAACGACAMYAWCRAUYCUUCGGRUGMKUUAAUGGGCGUCGAGCGGCGGACGGGUGAGUAAUGCCUAGGAAAUUGCCUUGAUGUGGGGGAUAACCAUUGGAAACGAUGGCUAAUACCGCAUAAUGCCUACGGGCCAAAGAGGGGGAUCUUCGGACCUCUCGCGUCAAGAUAUGCCUAGGUGGGAUUAGCUAGUUGGUGAGGUAAUGGCUCACCAAGGCGACGAUCCCUAGCUGGUCUGAGAGGAUGAUCAGCCACACUGGAACUGAGACACGGUCCAGACUCCUACGGGAGGCAGCAGUGGGGAAUAUUGCACAAUGGGCGAAAGCCUGAUGCAGCCAUGCCGCGUGUAUGAAGAAGGCCUUCGGGUUGUAAAGUACUUUCAGUUGUGAGGAAGGGUGUGUAGUUAAUAGCUGCGCAUCUUGACGU
rnacentral:rRNA from 1 species